UAUUAAUUUCUUUCUUUCUUUCUGCAUAAACCUAAAGACACUUGUAUACUAUCUUCCUAGAUAGGCAUGUAUGUGUUUAUGACAACCACUCCAUCCUGUUUUUUUAGUAACUGCUCAAACGACUUUCCAAACAAGGAAACCGAGUCCUCUGCAUUCUUCAAACUCCAAAGCUUCACUUUUCCCUCCACGUUUCACUGAUUUCUAACCCAAACCCUUUCCCUGAAUCCCAUUUGGAUUAAGCUGCAUUAUAUCCUGUUUUACUCUGUUUUUUUUUUCCUCUUCUUCUUUCUCCUCUGUUUCGAUGUAGUAUUUUUUACUUGCAAUUUGUCUUCUCUGUUUUAUGUCAAGUCCAUCCUUGGUUUUUAUUGUUUCUGCUUAUGAAGAAACCUCAAAGACAUUAACCUGAGGGCACAUGAUCGUGAGAAGAGUGAAUUAAAUUAACAUAUCUGUACCAAUACCCAUCAAGUUUGUUCAUUUUCUAAAAAAUGAACUACUUGUAUCCUGUGAAAGAAGAGUACUUGGAAUGGCCACCACCGUCGUCGUCGCCGCCAACAACGGGAGGAGUUGAUGAGUCAGCAAUGGUUCCUCCUCCUCGGCCAAUGGGGGGGCUUCACGAAAUAGGGCCACCCCCAUUUCUGACCAAGACUUACGAUGCAGUGGAGGAUCCCACCACUAGCCACAUGGUUUCAUGGAACAGAGGAGGUGCCAGCUUUGUUGUUUGGGAUCCACACGCUUUCUCCAGAGACCUUCUUCCUAGAUACUUCAAGCACAACAAUUUCUCAAGCUUUGUUAGACAACUAAACACUUACGGUUUUAGAAAAAUUGAUCCAGAUAGGUGGGAGUUUGCAAAUGAAGGAUUCCUUAGAGGGCACAGGCACCUGUUGGCAAACAUAAGGAGAAGGAAACAACCUUCUUCUCAGCCUUCUUCUUCUUCUUCUUCAUCCUCUUAUUAUUAUUAUUCUUCUUCUUCUCAACAAGCACAACAAGGUCACUGUGUUGAAGUUGGUCGCUUUGGACUUGAUGAAGAGAUUGAUCGUUUGAGGCGUGACAAGCACGUGUUGAUGAUGGAGCUUGUGAAGCUGAGACAGCAGCAACAGAACACAAGGUCAUACCUUCAAGCAAUGGAGGAGAGGCUAAGAGGGACGGAAAUUAAGCAGCAACAAAUGAUGGCUUUCUUGGCUAGAGCUUUGAAAAAUCCAACCUUUAUUCAGCAGCUACUUCAGCAGAAGGAGAAGAGGAAGGAGCUUGAAGAGGCCAUGUCCAAGAAGAGGAGAAGGCCAAUUGAGAGAGGGCCAAACCAUGGGGUUGUUGGAGAAGAAUCAAGCAGUGUUAAGGUUGAGUCUCUUGUGUUUGGUGAUGAAUAUGGUUUUGGAGUGUCAGAGUUGGAAGUGUUAGCUAUGGAGAUGCAAGGUUAUGGUAAGGGAAGGAGGGAACAAGAGGAGGAGCCUGAUGAGGCACUAGAUCAAUCACAAGAGAGGCUGGAGAAAGAGCUUGAUGAAGGGUUCUGGGAAGAACUUUUCAGUGAGGGUUUUGAGGGUGAAUUGGAUACUAAUCCAACUAAUUCCCAAGACCAAGAUGAAGAAGAAGAAGAUCAUGUCAAUGUGUUGGCCAAUCGCUUUGGUUACUUGGGUUCAAGUCCUAAAUGAAACCAACCACAUAUAGUACUCAAGAUUAUUAUUGGUUAACAUUGUUCAUUAAUUUGGUUCAAGUGGAGGCAGUCAUGUGGUGAAUGGAGGAGGAGGCAUCCCAUUUGGCAUGAUACAUGUGGAAAUGAUUUACUUUUUGGUGUUUCUAACCCCCCCAUUAUAUGAUGAUGCAUGUCCUUAUGUAGAACCUAAAAAAUUUCUCACUUUUCUCUGUUUGAUUAGGUAGGUUGCAGCUGUUGCUUGGACAAGAAUCUAUGGUAGUGAUAGCAAUCGUUAUUUACUCAAGAUUAUACAGAAGCCGUAGAAUGGAUACGAAUUCGAAGUAGCUGGUCUCCAAGAAUCAUAACUGAUUGUUGCUUUUGAACCCAAGAUCCGGUUGGUGGUUAACCUUGUCGGUUUGAUUUUUUUUUAUCUCACUAUACUUUUUCCAUUGCCUGGGACUUCGUCAUGUGGCUAGAAAUAAAACCAGGCCACACGUCGAAUUUCAUGAUGUUCCAUUACAUAUGGACAAUUUUGUUAGGUAUCUUCAUGCUUCCAAGAUUCCGUUCACGUUUAAACCUUCAAAACUAAAAAACAAAAAUCAUAUGCGGGGCUCUCUCUCAGGCCUCAAGCGAAACCUGUCAGGUGUCUAGGGCAUAAUCACAUAAAGAAAGUGAUCAUUUAGUUUUUGUUUAUUCAUAAAUAUUAAUUGUUAGUAUUAUUAGUUUUCACUAACAGGAGGUUCAAACUUGUAGUUUUUUUCUCUUUUAUUUUUCUUUUUAAUACUAAAUUAAUCUUAUAUCUUCAAAUAAUUAUUUAAUUAUAGUUCCUCUUGCUGGUGGGUUGACAACCUUAAUUCAGAUUCAUGUCGCAGUCUCCUCUUAACUUGUGUUAGGACAUCAAUCACAAGAUUCCAAGAGUGAAUUUUGUAACCUUCUAUCGGAUGCAAUUUUUCCCCCCGCUUUCUGUUUGGGUAUAGUGAUUGAGAGUUAUGAGAAGUGUUGACAUUAUAGUUUUGUUUUUCUUAAUUUUUUUUAAUAUUUAUUGAGUAAUACUUUAUAUCAACAAUCAUAAACAGUAUAUUUUCUGGUUAAAUUUAA